CCGGAUUAUUGGGCGUAAAGCGAGCGCAGGCGGUUUUUUAAGUCUGAUGUGAAAGCCUUCGGCUCAACCGAAGAAGUGCAUCGGAAACUGGGAAACUUGAGUGCAGAAGAGGACAGUGGAACUCCAUGUGUAGCGGUGAAAUGCGUAGAUAUAUGGAAGAACACCAGUGGCGAAGGCGGCUGUCUGGUCUGUAACUGACGCUGAGGCUCGAAAGUAUGGGUAGCAAACAGGAUUAGAUACCCUGGUAGUCCAUACCGUAAACGAUGAAUGCUAAGUGUUGGAGGGUUUCCGCCCUUCAGUGCUGCAGCUAACGCAUUAAGCAUUCCGCCUGGGGAGUACGGCCGCAAGGCUGAAACUCAAAGGAAUUGACGGGGGCCCGCACAAGCGGUGGAGCAUGUGGUUUAAUUCGAAGCUACGCGAAGAACCUUACCAGGUCUUGACAUACUAUGCAAAUCUAAGAGAUUAGACGUUCCCUUCGGGGACAUGGAUACAGGUGGUGCAUGGUUGUCGUCAGCUCGUGUCGUGAGAUGUUGGGUUAAGUCCCGCAACGAGCGCAACCCUUAUUAUCAGUUGCCAGCAUUAAGUUGGGCACUCUGGUGAGACUGCCGGUGACAAACCGGAGGAAGGUGGGGAUGACGUCAAAUCAUCAUGCCCCUUAUGACCUGGGCUACACACGUGCUACAAUGGAUGGUACAACGAGUUGCGAACUCGCGAGAGUAAGCUAAUCUCUUAAAGCCAUUCUCAGUUCGGAUUGUAGGCUGCAACUCGCCUACAUGAAGUCGGAAUCGCUAGUAAUCGCGGAUCAGCAUGCCGCGGUGAAUACGUUCCCGGGCCUUGUACACACCGCCCGUCACACCAUGAGAGUUUGUAACACCCAAAGUCGGUGGGGUAACCUUU
rnacentral:rRNA from 1 species